rnacentral:rRNA from 1 species
GGCGUUAAGUUGCAGGGUAUAGACCCGAAACCCGGUGAUCUAGCCAUGGGCAGGUUGAAGGUUGGGUAACACUAACUGGAGGACCGAACCGACUAAUGUUGAAAAAUUAGCGGAUGACCUGUGGCUGGGGGUGAAAGGCCAAUCAAACCGGGAGAUAGCUGGUUCUCCCCGAAAGCUAUUUAGGUAGCGCCUCGUGAACUCAUCUCCGGGGGUAGAGCACUGUUUCGGCUAGGGGGCCAUCCCGGCUUACCAACCCGAUGCAAACUGCGAAUACCGGAGAAUGUUAUCACGGGAGACACACGGCGGGUGCUAACGUCCGUCGUGAAGAGGGAAACAACCCAGACCGCCAGCUAAGGUCCCAAAGUCAUGGUUAAGUGGGAAACGAUGUGGGAAGGCCCAGACAGCCAGGAUGUUGGCUUAGAAGCAGCCAUCAUUUAAAGAAAGCGUAAUAGCUCACUGGUCGAGUCGGCCUGCGCGGAAGAUGUAACGGGGCUAAACCAUGCACCGAAGCUGCGGCAGCGACAUUUAGGUGUUGUUGGGUAGGGGAGCGUUCUGUAAGCCUGUGAAGGUGGCCUGUGAGGGUUGCUGGAGGUAUCAGAAGUGCGAAUGCUGACAUAAGUAACGAUAAAGCGGGUGAAAAGCCCGCUCGCCGGAAGACCAAGGGUUCCUGUCCAACGUUAAUCGGGGCAGGGUGAGUCGACCCCUAAGGCGAGGCCGAAAGGCGUAGUCGAUGGGAAACGGGUUAAUAUUCCCGUACUUGGUGUUACUGCGAAGGGGGGACGGAGAAGGCUAUGUUGGCCGGGCGACGGUUGUCCCGGUUUAAGCGUGUAGGUGUGUGUUCCAGGUAAAUCCGGUUCACUUUAACACUGAGGCGUGAUGACGAGGCACUACGGUGCUGAAGCAACAAAUGCCCUGCUUCCAGGAAAAGCCUCUAAGCAUCAGGUAACAUCAAAUCGUACCCCAAACCGACACAGGUGGUCAGGUAGAGAAUACCAAGGCGCUUGAGAGAACUCGGGUGAAGGAACUAGGCAAAAUGGUGCCGUAACUUCGGGAGAAGGCACGCUGACACGUAGGUGAAGUGAUUUACUCAUGGAGCUGAAGUCAGUCGAAGAUACCAGCUGGCUGCAACUGUUUAUUAAAAACACAGCACUGUGCAAACACGAAAGUGGACGUAUACGGUGUGACGCCUGCCCGGUGCCGGAAGGUUAAUUGAUGGGGUCAGCGCAAGCGAAGCUCCUGAUCGAAGCCCCGGUAAACGGCGGCCGUAACUAUAACGGUCCUAAGGUAGCGAAAUUCCUUGUCGGGUAAGUUCCGACCUGCACGAAUGGCGUAAUGAUGGCCAGGCUGUCUCCACCCGAGACUCAGUGAAAUUGAACUCGCUGUGAAGAUGCAGUGUACCCGCGGCAAGACGGAAAGACCCCGUGAACCUUUACUAUAGCUUGACACUGAACAUUGAGCCUUGAUGUGUAGGAUAGGUGGGAGGCUUUGAAGCGUGGACGCCAGUCUGCGUGGAGCCGACCUUGAAAUACCACCCUUUAAUGUUUGAUGUUCUAACGUGGACCCGU